UUUUGGUGUUGAAAAUUUUAAUUUCCAUAAACCCGUUGAAUGUGCUCCUUUUAAGUCUGUUGUUUUGUUUAUAGGGUGUAAGUAGUGAAGCACCCGUAUGUGCUGGACUACUUUCUGUUAUCCACAAAUUAAAAAUCGAAAUAUCUCGUCAACAUCUUCUUAUUCUUCUUCAGUAGCUUAAUAGGCCACGAACGACUUUUAUUAUCACUAGCAAUUUAGUUCUCCGUCUCUAUCUGUCCUACGCGCAGUCAAUAACUGCAUUCCCUUCUACCAUUUUCAUGUUGUAUUCCACAGUGUCGUUCCGUGACAUAUUUCGUCUACCGAGCGGUCGUUUUUUGUUUACUCGUUCCGUCAAAACAUUCUUCAAUACAUCCCUAUCCGAUCUCUAUACACGUCCCGAGCAAUCUCAUCGUUUAUCCCUUACUUCAGUGAGUAUAUCGACAUUUCCAUAAUAUAAGUAAUUCAACUCCACAAUCAGCGGCCGUGGGACUAAAUUUUAAUGCUAUAGAAGUAACAGUUAUAUUUUUUUGCGAAACGUGUCGCGUUCGCGUUGGUUUGACGACAACCGAGUAAUCGGAAACCGCCCGACUAUUAUGUAUACAAACGCUCUUUGGAUUAAUUCGGUUUUUUUUUUUUUUUUUUUUUUGUAAUCUCGUCAGACGUAUAAAAUCAUGCCCGGAAAUUGUUCUGUUAAUAAUUCGCAGUAGCGUCUGACGAGAAAAAGAGGCUCGUAUUUUUUCCCCGUCACUCGACAUCACUUAAAUUACCAAUUCAUUCCGAUCCGCGCGCGAAUUAUUCGGAGCACUCCGCGGUUUUGCCGGGCCCGUCCUAUUUCUUCAGGGACGACGUAGAAUAUUAAUCGUCGGCCAUAUUGUACAUUGUUUUUACGGGAACCGCACUGUAUAUAAUUUACAAAACAUAUAUUAGUCAGUACGCGCUUUGAUUAUUCGCGUCUCCUCGUAAGACAAUAUGCCCCCAUCCCCCAAACUGCCGUUAAUUCGUUUUGAACUGCGACCGUGAUACCUGCGCGUAUCGAUAAUUUACACUUUCGCGGAGUUAUUCCGUCAGAACCCGGCGAUAAAGAAACGCGUAAUGUAAUAACGGCUAUAAUUAAUAUCACUGUUAUCGCUGUUAUAAUAUUAUAGACACUUAAUGACAAUCACGAUACGCGGCUGAUUAAUGAUAAAAUUUGAUGAACGCAGUUUUUGCCAAGUCUACGGAGUUUUAUACCGUUUUAAAAUAUUUGGCGAAAACGUGGUAGAACGUACGGUUGAAAUAGAGAUAGUCACAAAUAACGUUUGGAGAAGAGAAUAUGUUAAAGGCCGAAAAAAUUAUUGACUGGACAUGCGUGAAAAAGCCAAAACUCAUAUCUACUACGAGCAGUGUAAAGACCUUUGGAAAGGUCGAGGAUGCGAUGAGAAAACGUAGUAACAAAAUACGUCGAAGGUUUAGUAAGCGGACCUAAUUGGAAGAUUUUAGCGAUUAAUAGAAAUGGAUCCGGGGAAUUGACCGUGACAAAAACGACCUUGGAAACCGAAUAAACCCAAAUAAUAACGGGUUAGAGUUUAUAAAUCGAUCGUACUUAAAAACGACUACCAAAAUACGGUAAAUAAUCGACUUGUACGCACUGUUUUCAUAUUGUAAUAUUGUGCAAUAGGUAUAGCUAUAUCGCAGUGAUACUGUAUAAGUGUGAGGAGGUUUUAUAAUUUUAAGUUUUGACGAGGCUAAUCGGGUAAAAAUAUGUAAACAAACCGAAAAACGUUAUUAAUAUUAUACGCCGUCGUAAUGUUCGUCGGAGCAGGAAGUUUUCAGGAAACGCGCUCGUUAGUCACAUACGUCUUUUAAAAGCUAACCGUGCACAACCUCCACGCACACUCUUCCACGGUGGGUACAUACCGGCUGGAAAGGGUCUCUAGUGCCGGAAACGGUCUCUUAAAAACGUCCGUCUAAUAGAGAAGUGCGCUGCACCGAGAGAAUAAUUAAUGUGUAUCGCAAAAACUUCGGGAUUAAAAUUGUACGGGGGCACGCGCCCGGGUUUUGAUCAAGUUUGUAAAACGAAGACGUAUUA